ACGAAAGCUGAAAUAUAAUAUUUUCAUAUUUGAUGGACGUCGAUACCAAUUUCGCUUUAUGCAUUAUUUUUGUCUGAUGAAAUUGAUUUCUUGUUCCAGGUGGACACGUAAAGUCGCACGAUGACAGCAUAACUGGUGUGGUAAACUCAAGUAUGCUCGUCAUUUGGACGCGUUUAUUCCAAAAUAUUAGUUAUGUGAACUUAAAAGCCACCAAAGCAGCAGUCAAACAGUAGACAAGUCGGAUUCAUGAGGCGGCUAUGCCCCCUGCGACCUUCCCCCUUCACGAAUAGCUGAGACACGACCCCUCGCUCUCGGAUGGCUCGAGUCAUUUCCAUGCUCUUAUUGUUAUAUGUGCCGUGGUCUAAUGCCAAUAACUCCACAAGCUCCUACACGGACAGUGAUGAUCAGGUAUGACUAUUCUACUUUCUAAGGUUUAAUCCAAAACAAAAUCCGUUCGCUGAUUUCAGACUAAUUUGAAAACAGACCACUUAUUGAAUUUUUUUAU
rnacentral:lncRNA from 1 species